rnacentral:rRNA from 1 species
UAGGGAAUCUUCCGCAAUGGGCGAAAGCUUGACGGAGCAACGCCGCGUGAGUGAUGAAGGUCUUCGGAUCGUAAAACUCUGUUAUUAGGGAAGAACAAAUGAGUAAGUAACUAUGCACGUCUUGACGGUACCUAAUCAGAAAGCCACGGCUAACUACGUGCCAGCAGCCGCGGUAAUACGUAGGUGGCAAGCGUUAUCCGGAAUUAUUGGGCGUAAAGCGCGCGUAGGCGGUUUUUUAAGUCUGAUGUGAAAGCCCACGGCUCAACCGUGGAGGGUCAUUGGAAACUGGAAAACUUGAGUGCAGAAGAGGAAAGUGGAAUUCCGUGUGUAGCGGUGAAAUGCGCAGAGAUAUGGAGGAACACCAGUGGAGAAGGCGACUUUCUGGUCUGUAACUGACGCUGAUGUGCGAGAGCGUGGGGAUCAAACAGG